ACUCCUGCGGGAGGCAGCAGUGGGGAAUUUUGGACAAUGGGCGAAAGCCUGAUCCAGCAAUGCCGCGUGAGUGAAGAAGGCCUUCGGGUUGUAAAGCUCUUUUGUCAGGGAAGAAACGGUGAAAGCUAAUAUCUUUUGCUAAUGACGGUACCUGAAGAAUAAGCACCGGCUAACUACGUGCCAGCAGCCGCGGUAAUACGUAGGGUGCAAGCGUUAAUCGGAAUUACUGGGCGUAAAGCGUGCGCAGGCGGUUUUGUAAGUCUGAUGUGAAAUCCCCGGGCUCAACCUGGGAAUUGCAUUGGAGACUGCAAUGCUAGAAUCUGGCAGAGGGGGGUAGAAUUCCACGUGUAGCAGUGAAAUGCGUAGAUAUGUGGAGGAACACCGAUGGCGAAGGCAGCCCCCUGGGUCAAGAUUGACGCUCAUGCACGAAAGCGUGGGGAGCAAACAGGAUUAGAUACCCCAGUAGUCCC
rnacentral:rRNA from 1 species